AUUGAACGCUGGCGGCAGGCCUAACACAUGCAAGUCGAACGAGUGGCGGACGGGUGAGUAAUGUCGGGGAAACUGCCUGAUGGAGGGGGAUAAGUAGUGGAAACGGUAGCUAAUACCGCAUACCAUCGGAUGUGCCCAGAGGGGAUUAGCUAGUAGGGGGGGUAAAGGCUCACCAAGGCGACGAUCCCUAGCUGGCCUGAGAGGAUGACCAGCCACACUGGAACUGAGACACGGCCCAGACUCCUACGGGAGGCAGCAGUGGGGAAUAUUGCACAAUGGGCGAAAGCCUGAUGCAGCCAUGCCGCGUGUAUGAAGAAGGCUUUCGGGUUGUAAAGUACUUUCAGCGGAGAGGCGUUACCAGCAGAGAAAGCCCCGGCUAACUCCGUGCCAGCAGCCGCGGUAAUUC
rnacentral:rRNA from 1 species